GAGUGGACUCCUACGGGAGGCAGCAGUGGGGAAUAUUGCACAAUGGGGGGAACCCUGAUGCAGCCAUGCCGCGUGAAUGAAGAAGGCCUUCGGGUUGUAAAGUUCUUUCGGUGACGAGGAAGGUUGGUAUGUUAAUAGCAUAUCAAAUUGACGUUAAUCACAGAAGAAGCACCGGCUAACUCCGUGCCAGCAGCCGCGGUAAUACGGGGGGUGCGAGCGUUAAUCGGAAUAACUGGGCGUAAAGGGCACGCAGGCGGUGACUUAAGUGAGAUGUGAAAGCCCCGGGCUUAACCUGGGAAUUGCAUUUCAUACUGGGUCGCUAGAGUACUUUAGGGAGGGGUAGAAUUCCACGUGUAGCGGUGAAAUGCGUAGAGAUGUGGAGGAAUACCGAAGGCGAAGGCAGCCCCUUGGGAAUGUACUGACGCUCAUGUGCGAAAGCGUGGGGAGCAAACAGGAUUAGAUACCCUUGUAGUCCUAUC
rnacentral:rRNA from 1 species